CUUGGUUUCUGUUUUGUUGGUUUCUAGAAGCCGAGUAAUGAUUAAUAGGAACAGUUGGGGCCGUUCAUAUUUCAUUGUCAGAGGUGAAAUUCUUAGAUUGAUGGAAGAUGAACUAGUGCGAAAGCAUUCGGCAAGGAUGUUUUCAUUAAUCAAGAACGAAAGUUAGGGGAUCGAAGACGAUCAGAUACCGUCGUAGUCUUAACCAUAAACUAUGCCGACUAGGGAUUGGACGAAGUUCGAAUUUUUUAUGACUCGGUCAGCACCUUAUGAGAAAUCAAAGUUUUUGGGCUCCGGGGGGAGUAUGGUCGCAAGGCUGAAACUUAAAGGAAUUGACGGAAGGGCACCACAAGGAGUGGAGCGUGCGGCUUAAUUUGACUCAACACGGGGAAA
rnacentral:rRNA from 1 species